rnacentral:rRNA from 1 species
AUGAACGCUGGCGGCGUGCCUAAUACAUGCAAGUCGAGCGAACAGACGAGGAGCUUGCUCCUCUGACGUUAGCGGCGGACGGGUGAGUAACACGUGGAUAACCUACCUAUAAGACUGGGAUAACUUCGGGAAACCGGAGCUAAUACCGGAUAAUAUAUUGAACCGCAUGGUUCAAUAGUGAAAGACGGUUUUGCUGUCACUUAUAGAUGGAUCCGCGCCGCAUUAGCUAGUUGGUAAGGUAACGGCUUACCAAGGCAACGAUGCGUAGCCGACCUGAGAGGGUGAUCGGCCACACUGGAACUGAGACACGGUCCAGACUCCUACGGGAGGCAGCAGUAGGGAAUCUUCCGCAAUGGGCGAAAGCUUGACGGAGCAACGCCGCGUGAGUGAUGAAGGUCUUCGGAUCGUAAAACCCUGUUAUUAGGGAAGAACAAAUGUGUAAGUAACUAUGCACGUCUUGACGGUACCUAAUCAGAAAGCCACGGCUAACUACGUG